rnacentral:rRNA from 1 species
UUUAUGGAGAGUUUGAUCCUGGCUCAGGAUGAACGUUGGCGGCGUGCCUAAUACAUGCAAGUCGAGCGAACGGACGAGAAGCUUGCUUCUCUGAUGUUAGCGGCGGACGGGUGAGUAACACGUGGAUAACCUACCUAUAAGACUGGGAUAACUUCGGGAAACCGGAGCUAAUACCGGAUAAUAUUUUGAACCGCAUGGUUCAAAAGUGAAAGACGGUCUUGCUGUCACUUAUAGAUGGAUCCGCGCUGCAUUAGCUAGUUGGUAAGGUAACGGCUUACCAAGGCAACGAUGCAUAGCCGACCUGAGAGGGU